GGAGAUGGAGGCCAUGGAGAGAGAAAUGGUGUUGUCAUUCGGUGAGGGUUUUGGAGAUGGGAGGCCAUGUAGUCUCUGAGAUGGAGAUAGAGAGAGAGAGGGUGAGGGAGACAGCGACAGAGAAAGAGGGAGACUGAGGAGUAGGGAUCACUGCUGCUGACUACUCGGUCACUGACUCAGAUCUCCUCCUCAACACCAACACCCACAGAGUCCAGUGUCUUCUUCUCCAAGCCCAAAGAAGGCAGCUUCGCCGACAUGAUCGAUAAAGCUUUGGAGAACGAGUUUGAAGAGAAUGAUUAGAACGAAGUGGCUCUCUCCUCCCCAUACUCAACCCUCUGCUUCUUCUCUGAUUCAUGGUUGGGUGCAGCGGCAGCAUAGAGCUUUCGCCGGAGGAAGAAAGGAUUUUGAUACGAGACAUUGCUUUGCCUGCUGAAGCCAAUUUCAAAGAGGGCGAUGUCGUCUACUUGCUCACCCGAAGGUUUGCAUGGAAGAUGAGAAGACGAUCUCUGUAUCCUUAGAAACACGUAUUUCAGAAAGCUUGAUGAUUCGCCUAUGUUUCGCGAACAGGUAGUGGCACAUAUUUGAGCAGGGCUUGGAGAGGCGGACCCCAGAUGGUGUAUGCCUACACCAGCAUGACUAAGGUGGUUAACCCUGCUGGCUGGAGCGACGAUAACCACGCCGAACGUGACAAAAAUGUGGCCUACAAAGAGUACAAGUGCAUGGGUCCAGGUUCAUGUACAUAAAAUAAGAGAAAUUUGAGCAAAGAACUGACUGACAAAUAAUUCAAGCCUUUCACUAGCCUUGGAUCUAUUCAGGGUAUGGUUGCUUCCUCCUCCAUAUCCAAAAGUGUGUCUAUAUAUAUAUAUAUAUAUAUAGACUAGGUACAUGACGUCAUAACUGUGUAUUGUUCACAUGUUCGCUUAAUCACAUCUCGUUGUACGGUUUUUUAUUCCUCAAAAUCACAAUUGGUAAUAUCCUCACACAAAGAAAUGCUUCUGUUGGAAUAUUGUUUCAUCGUUCGGUUGA